AAACCAUGCAUCGAGCAUUUUCUUAAUAGCUCCUUGAAUUACUCUCAUGCUUCAUAUAAUGUUUCAUCCUCUAAUUGUCUAAACAAUGUAAUGUCAUUCCUUAACUU
rfam:Gossypium arboreum cultivar AKA8401 contig_55339_1, whole genome shotgun sequence.